rnacentral:rRNA from 1 species
AGAUGGGAGCUUGCUCCCUGAUGUUAGCGGCGGACGGGUGAGUAACACGUGGGUAACCUGCCUGUAAGACUGGGAUAACUCCGGGAAACCGGGGCUAAUACCGGAUGGUUGUUUGAACCGCAUGGUUCAGACAUAAAAGGUGGCUUCGGCUACCACUUACAGAUGGACCCGCGGCGCAUUAGCUAGUUGGUGAGGUAACGGCUCACCAAGGCAACGAUGCGUAGCCGACCUGAGAGGGUGAUCGGCCACACUGGGACUGAGACACGGCCCAGACUCCUACGGGAGGCAGCAGUAGGGAAUCUUCCGCAAUGGACGAAAGUCUGACGGAGCAACGCCGCGUGAGUGAUGAAGGUUUUCGGAUCGUAAAGCUCUGUUGUUAGGGAAGAACAAGUGCCGUUCAAAUAGGGCGGCACCUUGACGGUACCUAACCAGAAAGCCACGGCUAACUACGUGCCAGCAGCCGCGGUAAUACGUAGGUGGCAAGCGUUGUCCGGAAUUAUUGGGCGUAAAGGGCUCGCAGGCGGUUUCUUAAGUCUGAUGUGAAAGCCCCCGGCUCAACCGGGGAGGGUCAUUGGAAACUGGGGAACUUGAGUGCAGAAGAGGAGAGUGGAAUUCCACGUGUAGCGGUGAAAUGCGUAGAGAUGUGGAGGAACACCAGUGGCGAAGGCGACUCUCUGGUCUGUAACUGACGCUGAGGAGCGAAAGCGUGGGGAGCGAACAGGAUUAGAUACCCUGGUAGUCCACGCCGUAAACGAUGAGUGCUAAGUGUUAGGGGGUUUCCGCCCCUUAGUGCUGCAGCUAACGCAUUAAGCACUCCGCCUGGGGAGUACGGUCGCAAGACUGAAACUCAAAGGAAUUGACGGGGGCCCGCACAAGCGGUGGAGCAUGUGGUUUAAUUC